rnacentral:rRNA from 1 species
ACACUCCUGCGGGAGGCAGCAGUGGGGAAUAUUGGACAAUGGGCGCAAGCCUGAUCCAGCCAUGCCGCGUGAGUGAUGAAGGCCCUAGGGUUGUAAAGCUCUUUCACCGGUGAAGAUAAUGACGGUAACCGGAGAAGAAGCCCCGGCUAACUUCGUACCAGCAGCCGCGGUAAUACGAAGGGGGCUAGCGUUGUUCGGAUUUACUGGGCGUAAAGCGCACGUAGGCGGACUAUUAAGUCAGGGGUGAAAUCCCGGGGCUCAACCCCGGAACUGCCUUUGAUACUGGUAGUCUUGAGUUCGAGAGAGGUGAGUGGAAUUCCGAGGGUAGAGGUGAAAUUCGUAGAUAUUCGGAGGAACACCAGUGGCGAAGGCGGCUCACUGGCUCGAUACUGACGCUGAGGUGCGAAAGCGUGGGGAGCAAACAGGAUUAGAAACCCCAGUAGUCCC